UGAACGCAUUGGCGAUAUCGAGUGAUAC
rnacentral:sRNA from 1 species